UACGUAGGGUGCAAGCGUUAAUCGGAAUUACUGGGCGUAAAGCGUGCGCAGGCGGUUGUGCAAGACAGAUGUGAAAUCCCUGGGCUCAACCCAGGAACUGCGUCCGAUACUGGUUGGCUUGAAUCCGGGAGAGGGAUGCGGAAUUCCAGGUGUAGCGGUGAAAUGCGUAGAUAUCUGGAGGAACACCGGUGGCGAAGGCGGCAUCCUGGACCGAGAUUGACGCUGAGGCGCGAAAGCCAGGGGAGCAAACGGG
rnacentral:rRNA from 1 species